GACGAACGCUGGCGGCGUGCUUAACACAUGCAAGUCGAACGGAAAGGCCCUGCUUUUGUGGGGUGCUCGAGUGGCGAACGGGUGAGUAACACGUGAGUAACCUGCCCUUGACUUUGGGAUAACUUCAGGAAACUGGGGCUAAUACCGGAUAGGAGCUCCUGCUGCAGGGUGGGGGGUGGAGAGUUUCGGCGGUUGGGGAUGGACUCGCGGCUUAUCAGCUUGUUGGUGGGGUAGUGGCUUACCAAGGCUUUGACGGUUAGCCGGCCUGAGAGGGUGACCGGCCACAUUGGGACGGAGAUACGGCCCAGACUCCUACGGGAGGCAGCAGUGGGAAUUAUUGAACAAUGGGCGGAAGCCUGAUGAAGCAACGCCGCGUGCGGGAUGACGGCCUUCGGUUUGUAACCCGUUUUCGCCUGUGACGAAGCGUGAGUGACGGUAAUGGGUAAAGAAGCACCGGCUAACUACGUG
rnacentral:rRNA from 1 species